ACAUACGACCAUAGGCAGUAGAAAAUUCGGGAUCCCGUCCGCUCUCCCUUAGACAAGCUACUGACCGCCGAACUAGUACUCAGGUCGGUGACGACGUGGGAAGUCCUCGGUGUUGUAUGUA
rnacentral:rRNA from 1 species